GUCUGAUAGUGAAAGACCCCCGAAGGGAGACCCUCACUCAGGCACUCAAGUCCCGGGACAGCCGCGGACCCAAGAAGACACUGAGACCA
rnacentral:pre_miRNA from 7 species